ACGGCCAUACCAUGCUGAAUAUACCGGCCCUCGUUCGAUCACCGAAGUCAAGCAUAAUCGGGCGCGGUCAAUACUUGGGAGGGUGACAACAUGGCAACAAGGCGUGUCGUU